rnacentral:rRNA from 1 species
CCUACGGGAGGCAGCAGUGGGGAAUAUUGCACAAUGGGGGAAACCCUGAUGCAGCGACGCCGCGUGAGUGAAGAAGUAUUUCGGUACGUAAAGCCCUAUCAGCAGGGAAGAAAAUGACGGUACCUGACUAAGAAGCCCCGGCUAACUACGUGCCAGCAGCCGCGGUAAUACGUAGGGGGCAAGCGUUAUCCGGAUUUACUGGGUGUAAAGGGAGCGUAGACGGCUAAUCAAGUCAGAAGUGAAAACCCAGGGCUCAACCUUGGGACUGCUUUUGAAACUGAGUAGCUAGAGUGCAGGAGAGGUAAGCGGAAUUCCUAGUGUAGCGGUGAAAUGCGUAGAUAUUAGGAGGAACACCAGUGGCGAAGGCGGCUUACUGGACUGUAACUGACGUUGAGGCUCGAAAGCGUGGGGAGCAAACAGGAUUAGAUACCCUAGUAGUC